rnacentral:rRNA from 1 species
GCACAGCACUCCUACGGGAGGCAGCAGUGGGGAAUAUUGCACAAUGGGCGCAAGCCUGAUGCAGCCAUGCCGCGUGUAUGAAGAAGGCCUUCGGGUUGUAAAGUACUUUCAGCAGUGAGGAAGGUGGAUAUGUUAAUAGCAUAUUCAUUUGACGUUAGCUGCAGAAGAAGCACCGGCUAACUCCGUGCCAGCAGCCGCGGUAAUACGGAGGGUGCGAGCGUUAAUCGGAAUUACUGGGCGUAAAGCGCAUGCAGGUGGUUUGUUAAGUCAGAUGUGAAAGCCCGGGGCUCAACCUCGGAAUUGCAUUUGAAACUGGCAAACUAGAGUACUGUAGAGGGGGUAGAAUUUCAGGUGUAGCGGUGAAAUGCGUAGAGAUCUGAAGGAAUACCGGUGGCGAAGGCGGCCCCCUGGACAGAUACUGACACUCAGAUGCGAAAGCGUGGGGAGCAAACAGGAUUAUAUACCCUGGUAG